UGAUAAUUAGUUUAAACUAAAACAAGUGAUUUCGACUCACUAAAUUAUGUAUAAAACAUAAUUAUCA
rnacentral:tRNA from 1 species